AGGCUGUGACGAUAGUUGCGUUACAUUGAAGGUUAGGGUUCUUCUCAAUCGUCUGAUUCCUAGACGACGCCUCAGCGCUUCUGAGCCU